rnacentral:lncRNA from 1 species
GUGCAAGGAUGUCCAAGAAAAAGUUAUCCAUUGAAGAAAUAAGACAUUAUCUUGAGUGCACAUCGUACUCCGAUUCAGAAGGUGAGGAUUUCGAAUUGGAAAAGAUGAAGAAUAUGUCCAACCACCUCAAUCAAGUUCUUCUGAUUCUGAUGACUAUUCUGAUGUUUUUGACAAGCCUGUCGAAAUGCCAGGAUGCAAUCAAGUGACUCAAUUCGUCUUCUAAGUAACAUAAAUCAACCGACUUAUUAGAAGAGUCAAUGUAUGUUGGCAAGGAUAACACAAUCUGGCACAAACAAAUAGAAAAUGGAGAAAUUUCAGCCCGUUUUAACCAAGAAAACAUUUUGAAGGAGGUCUCAGGUCCAUCAUCAUUUGCAAAACGUAACAUCAUUACAGAUAAAACAUUAUCAGCUUUUGAACUCUUGAUCGAUAAUUAUAUUAAUGAUUAAAAAUA